GUUCUUCCAAUGCUCUGUUUUUGAUUCUUUUUCCUCUGAAAAUUGAGCCGGCGUUGAUAUAUCAUUUGAAUCAAUCGAACCACAAGGUGACCUCUGGCUUUCAAGUUGAUCGCCCGAGUUGAUUCGGUUCCUAAUGCUGUCAAGGUGAGUUGCUAAACUUCCAUUAAUGUUAUUAGGAGAGCUCUGAACAUGAUCCAUUGAAUUCGAAGCUGAAAUAUGUGACAUUGUGGCCGGCGAAAACCGAUGUGAACUCACAUCAUCUUCACCCACGAUUUCACCAGUCCCAUCUUCUUCAUCUUUAUGAACAGAUAACAAUCUCCAAUACAUAAUUAUAAGUAUCAAAACAUUCACCGAGACACCAACCAGCAUUGCCGGCAAAACCCCAACAAGAAAAUCCCCAAAAGAAAUCUUACUUUGAACAGCAAUCACCAAAUUCUGUGGAUUCCCAAUCGGAGUAGCCGAAGAACCUAUAUUAGCACUCGAAGCAAGUGCUAACAAAAAUGGGUGAGGAGGCAAAUUAUGUUGCCUUGCAAUUUUCAAUACAAACUCAGUUAAUAUCACACAAGAAGUAUCAUUAGUGAAAAAAGCACUUGAAAUCGCAGAAACCAAACAGAUUCUACAGAUUAAAUCCUUAGCUCCUUUACUUUUCCAUGAAAGCAAUUUACCUAAAUACUUAAACAUAUCGGCUCUUUCGAGAUAAACACUAACGACCAUGGUGCCGAAUAAAAGACCCAAGAUUGGUAGAUCAAUGGCGGCGUAAGCUUCAUCUGGGGUUAUUACUCUGAAUAAAACCAUAAGCAUGGCACCGAGUAAAGACCCGGCGGUUCUUCCGAUUGGUAAAAGUGGGACGGCAGGGAAAACAGCUAAUACCCAGAAGAUUGCAAAGGCUAUUGAGCCGAGAACUAUUUUGUAUGUAGCGGCUAACGCCAUUGUUGUUCUGGUCUUAAUCCUUCGGCUUCUUUUUUUUCUUUUUAUCAUGCAAGAUUAUAAUCUUAAAAACAUUUAUAAAAAGUAAAAGAAGAAAAGAACAAAGACUUGCCGCUUUACGAUUAAAUUAAAGUAGUUAUGGUGAUUGUUUGUUUGCAUGUGAACGCCUUAAAUUCGAUGAGAGAUUUGGCGCACUAGUUUUAAGUUUCUCGAGUUUUUAGAGGUUCUUAUACAGCUGCGACCAAUCCUGUAUGAUUUUCAUGGCGGUGGCCACCACGUACUAUUUUUUCUCCUAUAAGAUUCGAUUAACAGCAUUAAAUUCAUCUUUGUAAUUUUAAAAAUUAUAAAAUAUUAUUAAAUUAUUAAAAAAAAAUUAUUUAAGUUAUUAAAUUAUUAAAUUCUUUUUUUUUUAAAAGUCUUGUUAGGAAGCUUCAAUUGACGAUAGAUAUGUAUCUAUUAAAGAGUAGAAAAAUGUCAAGUCAAUUUAAUAGUUAGUGUCGAAGAUCGAUAAAGAAAACUAUUAUUUUAUUAAUUUAUAAUUUUUUUAAAUUAAAUAAUCAAAACAUAAACAUAUUAAUUAACAAUUCGAACCGUUGUAAGAUGAAUUUGAUAAUUUAUACAUAGAUGAGGUGUAUAUAUUUUUGUGGUUUUUAUGAAGCGUGUAAGUUUAAACUUCAAUAAAAAUAAAUAAACAACAGUUUUAAUAUUACCAAAUUUAACAUUUGGAAUGGGUUAUCGAGUCAGAUUUGGUGUUGCGAGUUACAACCUACACUAUAUACCAACAAAUGUACGGUAGUGGGAAAAUAUUAAUAUUUUAGGUUAAAUAUAAAACUUUUAAAAAUUGAUUAAUAAUUUUUUCGUAAAAAACAAAUACCACUAAUGAAAAAACCAGGACGGACUGGGACCAUCUUACAUUUUCCAUACAGCCAAGACCUAACUCUUGGGACCAAAACCUAACUCUUGGGACCAAAAAACCAGCGACCAGUUUUGUUAUUCCUAUUACUAUAUUUGGCCUUAUUCGAAUACAUUCAUAAUUUAUUUAUUUCUUUUUUAAUUAAAAUUAACGAAAAUUUAAUAAAAUAAUGAUAUGAUAAUUAGAUGGUUUUAAGUAUUUCUAUUUUUUAUACUAAACAUGUUAUGUUUAAUUGUAAUUUAAUUAUGGUCGAUAAAUAAAAAAUUGUAAGGGAAACCGAACCUAAUAGCUAUGACAAUUUUUUCGUAAGGUGUGGUGUUUUUACGUGGACAGCAUGCUAUGAUUAAUCCAGAAAGUCAUCAAUUAUGUUUUCAUUAUUAUAUUUUAAAAAUUAUUUUAUAUUUAAUUAUGCAACUAUUUAUCAAUUUAAUAUAUAAAUUAAUUUUUUUAAGGUUCUCAAAUAUGAAUUUAUGCAUGAUCAAUAAAACAUAUCAGAAAUAAAUUAAUGAAAAACUAAGUAUUAAAAAGGUUAUGAAAAAAGAAAUUUAAAAUCAAAAUUUAUUAUUUAAGUAAUGUUAUUUAUUAUUUACUAAAACGUGUAUAUUUUUACAAACUCUAAAAAUAUUUUCUUUUUAAUUUCCAUUUUCUAUUUUGGAAUUGGACCGCCAUUAACAAAGAUUUACAAAACUUCAUUAAAAAAUUUCAAAAAUAUUAUAUUUGGUUAAAUGACUCGUCAAAUAUUUAUAAGCUGCCCACGAAUGCAAAGUGCUGUCUUCUUAUAAUUGAAACAUGUAAACAUCGUUAUCAAUUCAUCAUAAUUCAUGUUUAAAAUCAUUUCAUUAAUAUAACAAAUAUUUUAAAGAUUUUGGUACAGUGUAAUAAUUUUGGAAACCAUAUAAUUAAAAAUGGUAUUUACAAACUUACUAUUAUUUAGUUAUUUUUGUCAAGCAUGUUAAUUUUUAACAGUAAAAGUAACAUAAAUUUUUAACAGAAAGGGUAAUUUGUUGUUUGAUCUAAUGUAGACUAGGGCGAAGGCAAGGGGACUGGCAUGGGCUCAGGCCCCCCUAAAAUGUAAAAUUAUUUUUUAGGCCCUUAAAUUUUUUAAAAAUUUUAAAUUAAUAAAGGUAAAAUUACACUUUGACCCCUUAAAAUUAUAAAAAUUUGAUUUAAUUUUUUACAAAUUAUAAAGAUAUAAUUUAUAAAAAAUUAAAAUUUCAUCCGACCCCCCUAAAAAAAUUUUCUAGCUUUGCCCUUGCAUAUAAAUGAAUUAAUUUGUCUAUUUUUUAUAUACAGAGGUUAAAAUACAAUCUAAUAUAUAGUACAUAAACCUUCAUAAUAUUAUUAUAAAAAUUGAUCAAUUCUAAAAUUAUAAAAACUAAGAAUAAACCAAAUAUACAGAGACUAAAAUCCAUAAUUUUCAUAAAGCUUAUAUAAUAAUUAUAAAAUUUAAUAUAAGACUUUCUUUCAAUUAUCCAAUUCAAUAUGUCAGCAGAUUAAAAAUUCAAGAGUAGGAAACAAUUUCAAUAAGGAGUUGAAAAUAUAAUGUACACGGGGAUGCACAAUUUAUCCCACUAUCCCUAACAUUACUCUACACAUGCCAUCAGAGGAAAAACUUUACAAAACAAAGAAUCCAACGGCACCGCCACCACUCCUAGUCUUUUUCUUCAUUACCGGAUACGGUUCAACUGAGAGAAUGGCUCACGGUUCACUUUCGGAGCAGUUUUAGCCACUUCUGGGACCCCAAAAACAUUCCAGAAUCUUAGAGUCUCAUCCCCUGCUGCUGAUGCCACUGUGCACCCAUCAGGGCUUUGAGCCAUGUAAAGUACUCUAGAUGUAUGACCCGUUAGCUCUGCCAUCUUCACCAUCGAUGGAUAUUUCCCAAGAGUUAAUUGAUUCUGAGUAAACCCAUGGGAACUCAAUAGCUCCCUCUCAUUCUUGCUCCAUAGCAAUGAGCAAACCUGGGAGUCGGUAUCAGCUGAAUUCAAGCAUGCACCAGUCUGUGUGUUCCAAAAUUUUAUGGUUCGAUCGCCGCCACCUCCACCUGUGGCCAGCAAAUUGCUCUGGAAAGGGCACCAGGGAAGGGCUUUGACAGCUGAGAUAUGCUCCUCCAACCUGUGUAGCCAUUGAGUUGGUGAAUUUGAAGAUGCCAUGGACCUAUCCCAUAUGUGAACAACAUUAUCAUUGCCUCCGCUGGCUAGCUGUUGCCCGGAAGCCGACCAUUUCAGCCCGCAAACCUCUUGCUGGUGGCCUCUGUAAGUUUCGACAACAUGGGAUCUAAUUCUCACAUCGUUGUUAACAAUCUGACCAUCCAUUCCUCCUGUUCUGAGAAUGUGAUUGUUCUAUGCCAUUGAACCCACUCUUGAUCUGUGACAACCUCUCAGAGUACGCAGCUGCAGCAACAAAGGGAAAAAUUAAAAAAUGGAGGAACAAUAAGAAGAAGCUGCAAAAUGUUCAGCAAAGACUUUAAUAUGGAACCUGUCGGUUGGCAGUCGAAUCCCAUAGUAGUACUUCGGAAUUGUUCAAGCCAAUGGCAAUAUGCCGACCAUCAGGAGCCCAAUUCACACUUGUUACUGGUCCGUUUUCGUCAUCAACAGUGACAAGUUUUGAAGUAGAACUAUCUGAAGCAUCCCACAUAUACACAGUGUUCCCGAGUGCUAUUGCUAGUACAUUGCUGCUGCCCCAAUCCAAUAAAUUCAGGUAAAAAUCGUCGACGAGAUCAGGAGCAUCCAAUGUUCUCUCAGAGCUCUGAAGAAUUGAAAAUCGCAUCAUAUUAGAGUCUGUUGAACCAAAAUUUUCUGAACUGACCAAAGUAUCCACAUCGUGCUGUACUUACCUGGGGAAUAUGUCUUCUAGGCUUUAAGGAUUUGGUCGGAUGCUUAUGACAUAUUUUAACCAAUUUAUAAUUAAUUCUGUUUAUGUUGUAAUAAUCAUCUAAUUAGUGUCAAACCAAUUGCAGUGACUAUAAGCGUAGAAGGAACUCCAAAUUUAAGGUGAUUCCAGAAAGACAAUGUGUAGCCUGUUGUUCCAAUAGGGUCGGAAGCGUGUAAAUUAUUGUACUAAAAAAUCACACAAAGUUCAAUUCCCAGGGAAGAGAGGUGGAUCACAAGGAUCUCUUAAAUACCAAGUCUUUCCUUAGACAGAAUAUCCCUUCUAUAGUAAUUUAAUAGCACAAUUAAAUACUACUAUUAUACCCUCAAAUAUUGAAAGAAAAAUAGGACAAGAAAGAACACAAGAGUUUUAACGAGGUUCGGUAAAUUAUACCUACGUCCUCGGGCACUAACACCAGAUGAUAACUUUACUAUCUUCAAAGUAUUACAAACAAAUAGAAUUCCUUAAGAAUUCUCAAAUGGGAGAAGAGAGAAAACUAAGAGAGAAAGAUUGGUUGGGAUGAAUUGAAAUGAGAAAUGAGAAGGCCUAUUUAUAGUUGAGGUUUAAGGACCAAACAAUAAAUAGCCCAUUAUCUCAAGGACCAAAAAAAAAUUAUCCCAUGCCACUUUUUCAAAGUCAAAUUUAGGGUGCUAAACUUGCACCACUUUGUAUUGUUUGCCAUUAAUGUUGUCUCCCAUUAAUGUUAACAAUCUCCACCUUGAAGAUUUGAUUAGGAUAAUCACAUCUUCACACACUUCCUUCAACUCCCCAAAUUCGAUAAAGCUAUCUUUUGUAGUGCCUACAAAUGCACUCUCGGGCGCCAUACACCUGAAGGUGCUCAAAUUCUCAGGAUGUUAAUCAAGUUCAAACAAUGAUUAAACUUGAUUGUUGUUACCACCUUGGUCAUCAUAUCUGCGGGAUUAUCUGCUGUCGGAAUCUUCUGAAGUAGAAUUUUUCCUUUUUCAAAGACUUCCCGCACAAAGUGAUAUCUUACGUCGAUAUGCUUGGUUCUUGAAUGAUAGACUUGAUUUUUCGCUAAAUGAAUAGCGCUCUGACUGUCACAAUAUAAACUUAUGUGACUUUGAACAACUCCUAAGUCUUUCAACAAUCCAUUAAGCCAAAUAGCCUCCUUAACAGCUUCUGUAACUGCCAUAUAUUCUGCCUCUGUAGUAGACACAGCUACUGUAGACUGUAAGGUAGACUUCCAACUUAUUGGGGCUUUCGCAAGAGUAAACAGAUACCCCGUAGUUGAACGACGUUUAUCUAAAUCACCAGCAAAGUCGGAAUCAACAUAUCCAACUACAAACUGACCAAGUGCUUCAUCCUGUUCAAAAAUUAAACCAACAUCUACGGUUUUUCGAAGAUACCGUAGAAUCCAUUUCACAGCUUGCCAAUGUCCUUUUCCAGGAUCAUGCAUAUACCUGCUCACAACUCCAACAGCUUGUGAAAUGUCAGGCCUCGUACACACCAUCGCAUACAUCAAACUCCCAACUGCAUUAGCAUAUGGGACUUUCGCCAUAUAUUCUCUUUCAUCUUCAGUCUUCGGAGAUAAUUGAGCACUAAGUUUCAAAUGAGAAGCAAGUGGGGUACUUACAUGUUUUGUGUUUUCAUUUACACCAAAACAUUGUAAUACCUUUUUCAGAUAUUGCUUCUGAUUUAAACAGAGCUUGCCUCUCGGUCUAUCUCUACUUAUCUCCAUGCCGAGAAUCUUCUUGGCCUCACCUAGAUCUUUCAUCUCGAACUCUUGAUUCAACUGAGCCUUCAGCUUAUCUAUCUCAUUUUGGCUCUUCGAAGCGAUUAACAUAUCAUCAACAUACAAGAGUAGAUAAAUGAAAGAUCCGUCAUGCAGCUUCUGCAAAUAUACACAAUUGUCAUAUUUGCUUCUUGUGUACUUCUGCCUUCUCAUAAAGCUAUCAAAUCGCUUGUACCACUGCCUCGGGGAUUGCUUCAAUCCAUAUAGCGAUUUGUUAAGCUUACAAACCCAAUUUCUACCACCAGCAUCUGUGUAUCCUUCUGGCUGAGUCAUAUAGAUCUCCUCUUCUAACUCACCAUGCAAGAAAGCCGUCUUAACAUCAAGUUGAGCUAGCUCCAAAUUCAACUGUGCUACCAAGGCCAACAAAAUUCUAAUGGAGGAAUGCUUCACAACAGGGGAAAAUACAUCAUUGUAGUCAAUUCCCUCCUUCUGAGCGUAGCCUUUAGCUACCAAUCUUGCCUUGUAGCGAAUAUCCUUCUUGCUAGGAGAUCCAUCUUUCUUUGCGAAUACCCACUUGCAUCCGAUUGCCCUUUUACCUUUCGGUAAUUGCGCCAACUCCCAAGUAUUAUUCUUCCGGAGAGACUGCAUUUCUUCAUCCAUGGCGCUUUUCCAUUUAUCACUUUCUAAGCUUUGCAUUGCUUCUUGAUAAGUGAUAGGAAUAUCAUCAACAACGGGAAGGGCGUAGGCCACUAUAUCAGUAAAUCGAGCAGGUUUACGAAUUUCUCUCCGUGGCCUUGCAACUGCAACUGGUUCUGGUGUACUUAGUGGUUCUUGGGUCAGAACCUCUUCAACCUCUAAUUCCUCCAUUGUGGCUGGAGAAUUAGACUUAUUAACUGGGCAAAUCCCCAUCUGCUCAAACUCCACCUGUUUUGGAGUACACUCCACCUGCUGUGGAGUAUUGCUCGUCUGAAUAUCUUUAUCUGCUACCUUUUUCAAUGUGGUAGAUUCAUCAAAGGUAACAUCUCUGCUACAGAUCAUUUUCUUUGUGCUUAAGCACCAAAGACGAAAUCCCUUCACUCCAGAAGUGAUUCCCAUAAAGAGAGCUUUCUUUGCCCUCGGAUCUAACUUUGACUCCUUCACAUGGUAAUAUGCAGUGGUUCCAAACACAUGUAAGGAAUCAUAAUCUGUAGCCGGUUUUCCAGACCAUACCUCCAUAGGAGUUUUUCUUUCUAAUGCAGAUGAUGGCAAACGAUUAACAAGAUGGCCAGCGUAUGUCACAGCCUCAGCCCAAAAUUGCUUGCCCAACCCAGCAUUGGACAACAUACAUCGAACUUUCUCCAGCAAUGUUCGAUUCAUACGCUCUGCCAAUCCAUUCUGCUGUGGUGUAUCCCUAACUGUGAAGUGUCGAACAAUACCAUACUCUUGGCACACAUCGAAGAACGGAUCACUUUUAUAUUCCCCUCCAUUGUCCGUCCUAAGCCGCUUGAUUUUCUUGCCAGUCUGGUUUUCGAUCAUAGUUUUCCAUUUAAGAAAAACUCCAAGCACUUCAUCUUUAGUUUUCAUGGUAUACACCCAAACUCUUCUGGAAAAGUCAUCAUCAAAAGUAACAAAGUAGUGUUUUCCUUCCAAUGAAGGUGUUUUGGAAGGCCCCCACACAUCUGAGUGAAUAUAUUCCAAAAUACCUUUUGUAUUAUGGAUAGCAGUGCCGAAUUUCACUCUCUUUUGCUUUCCCAGAACACAGUGCUCACAAAAUUUUAAUUUGCAAGCCUUUACACCUUUCAACAAUCCUUGCUUUGCCAGAAUUUGCAAGGAUUUUUCGCUGGCAUGUCCCAACUUCAUAUGCCACAACUGCAUUGAGUCCAAGUCUUUGUUACCGGAAGCUGCAGCGACUGCUCCAAUAACUGUACUACCUUGGUAGUAAUACAAGUUAUUUUUCCUGAUGCCCUUCAAUAUCACAAGUGCGCCAGAUGUCACUUUCAAAACCCCAUCUCUCAUAGUAACAACUGAACCAUUGGAUUCCAAGGCUCCCAAUGAGAUGAGAUUUUUCUUCAAACUGGGCACGUACCGAACAUCAGUCAGAACUCUGGUUGAUCCAUCUUUAUUCUUUAAUUGGAUUGAACCUAUCCCAACAGUUUUACAGGCAUUGUCAUUGCCCAUAUAAACAACUCCUCCAUUUAGUUCUACUAAAUCAGAGAACCACUCCCGGUUAGGGGACAUAUGAUAGGUACAACCCGAAUCCAAUAUCCACUCAUCUGAAUGGAACGACGAUGAUGAUGCAACCAGUGAUAGUUCAGAGUCACUAGUAUCAUGCUUAGCAACACAAGCAUCUACAGCAGCUUUUCCCUUAUUCUUCAGCUUUGGACAAUUUUUCUUCCAGUGGCCUUUCUCAUGACAAAAAGCACAUUCAUCUUUCCCGAGUCUGGACUUUGACUUUGAUCUCCCCUUUUGAGUUUUCUUCCGAGUGUAUGAACGACCUCGGACUAGUAAAGCUUCUGUAUCUCUGAUUGAGUUUUUCUGUUUGUCCUUCUUUCUCUGUUCAUAACUGUAUAAGGCCGCACAGACUUCGCUCAGAGAUAUAUCACUCCUGCCAUGAAGUAGAGUAGUUUCUAGGAACUCAAACUCCUCAGGAAGUGACCCCAACAGCAUCAAAGCCAAAUCUUCAUCUUUGAAUGUCUCAUCCAUAUUCAGCAAAUCAGUGACUAACUGAUUAAAUUUGGUGAUGUGAUCAUUCAUUGUGGUACUUGGGACGUAUGUGAAGCGAAACAGUCUUUUCUUCAAGUGGAGCUUAUUUUGACUGUUUUUCUUCAAAAAUUUUUCUUCAAGUGCCACCCACAACUUAUUUGCAGAAGUCUCCUUUGAAAAAGCAUACCUCUGCUCUCGAGAAAGGCAUGAUCGAAUUGUGCCACAUGCCAACCGAUUGAUCGCCUUCCAAUCUUUCUCCUGUACAUCAUCUGGUUUCUCUUCAUCAAUGGCAAUGUCUAGACCCUGCUGAAAAAGGGCAUCUAGAACCUCACUUUGCCACAUACCAAAAUGGCCCGUGCCAUCAAAGAUCUCCACGGCCAAUCUUGCAUUUGCAAUUGUCGGUCUUGUCCACAUGGACGAUGUUGAAGCUCCUACACCGACCGUUUUCUCCAUAAUCUUUCAAUAUACCUAAGGAAAUCUUUUCUGAUGUGGAAGAUCAGUUCAAACUGCAACCACAGAGCAUACUACGAUUAACCUUCGGCUCUUGAUACCACUUGUUGUUCCAAUAGGGUCGGAAGCGUGUAAAUUAUUGUACUAAAAAAUCACACAAAGUUCAAUUCCCAGGGAAGAGAGGUGGAUCACAAGGAUCUCUUAAAUACCAAGUCUUUCCUUAGACAGAAUAUCCCUUCUAUAGUAAUUUAAUAGCACAAUUAAAUACUACUAUUAUACCCUCAAAUAUUGAAAGAAAAAUAGGACAAGAAAGAACACAAGAGUUUUAACGAGGUUCGGUAAAUUAUACCUACGUCCUCGGGCACUAACACCAGAUGAUAACUUUACUAUCUUCAAAGUAUUACAAACAAAUAGAAUUCCUUAAGAAUUCUCAAAUGGGAGAAGAGAGAAAACUAAGAGAGAAAGAUUGGUUGGGAUGAAUUGAAAUGAGAAAUGAGAAGGCCUAUUUAUAGUUGAGGUUUAAGGACCAAACAAUAAAUAGCCCAUUAUCUCAAGGACCAAAAAAAAAUUAUCCCAUGCCACUUUUUCAAAGUCAAAUUUAGGGUGCUAAACUUGCACCACUUUGUAUUGUUUGCCAUUAAUGUUGUCUCCCAUUAAUGUUAACAUAGCCAAGAUGUGGUGCUCGACGAGCUUGCUCACAUACUAUCAAGUUCGCCGCCGAUCCCAACAACGACAAGUUUCCGGCUACCGUGCUCACCCAUGCUAAUAUCAGCCAUGCUUUCUUCUCUUCACUUGCUGAUAUCGCCGCGGCUGAUGCUGCCACUCUUCCUCCAAGCACCAGAACUAAAGAACAUACAUAUAUAUUAGUGCCAAGAGAAGCUGUUAGUUACUCUACUUUGACAAAAUUUUAUAAAAUAUGCUGUUAGUUGACGUACUUUAUAAAAUUUAAGAUUUAGUGUACUUUAAAACUUAAACAUUAAGUGAAUUUAAAAAUCAGAGACAAGACAUUAACUUUACCAGAAGACAAUAUCGAUCCAUUAAGUAAUCUAUCAAAUUCCGGAUAAAUAAGACUUCAAAUAUUUAUUUUUGCUAAAAAAAAGUAGAAUAUAUUUUACCUGUUGGUACGUUGGAAGCCACAUUGGAGAGGAGAAUAAUAACGACAGCUAAAACCGCAAUCCCGGAAACACGAUCGACCUUGGCAUUGGGUUCCAUAAAGUUCCAAAGAGUACUUGGAAUCCCAGUUUUUUUGAACCCUUCCACCGUAAUAAACAUUCCACAGAAGAAAAUCAAAAGCGAAUACGAUACCUGCUCAUAAAAAAAACAAGAAAACCUUUUUUAAUCAUUCAAAAAAAUAAAAAUCGAAACUUAAAAUCCCACUCUGUAAUUUUAAUUCAGAAACCUUUUCCAAGCAAGGCCUUGCAUCCUUAAAAUCAAGAACAACAAGUGCCAAUGAUGCUGUAAUGGCUGUCCAUGACAUAUUCAAACCCAUAAGCAAAGCAACCAACAUCCCAAUAGUGACUAAAUAAACACAUAAUUUCCACAUCUUGUUCUUCCAAUGCUCUGUUUUUGAUUCUUUUUCCUCUGAAAAUUGAG
rnacentral:lncRNA from 1 species